GGCAAAAUUCCGCUCGCAGUCACUGCGAGUAACUCCUCCCAGAUGGAUGCUGUGCGGACGGCAAUUGUAAACUCUGGACAAAAGAGUCUUUCAAGCAGCAGAAGUUUAACAUUUUGAUGAAGUUCAAUAUGUCAAACUUUUCUCUUGUGGAUCAUGCAUUUUCUGUCUUAUCUAAGAAAUUUUUGCUUCACUCAAGAAUAAUUAUGUGGAGUACCAUCCAGGUCAAUCUCCAAUUACAACCCCAUUCUUCUCUCCAAGAGCACUGACCAUCUCGAUUUUGCAGUAAUGAUUCUCUUGCUCUCAUUUAAAGACUUACUAUGUAUUGUGCUGUAUCUGGACAUAUGGGAUGCUUCCAACAGCAUUACAAACAACGCUCCUCUGAACAAUCUUGACUGUAUCUCCUGCUGCAGGUCUUCAGCUUUAAUAAUGUCACACUGUUUUCCACGGUGCUUGCGCCCCUUCGUAUUCCCACCAGCAGUAAACGAGUGCCGAUAGCUCUACAUUUCAACCAACACGUGGAAUUACAAUGCGUUUUAAUUUCUGUUGCCAAUUUUGUGCAUGUAUGAUAGAGAUCUACUUUCCAUCGUGUGGGAUCCUGGAUUUUGUUUCAUGUCCAUGUUCAAUUGUAAAAAUUACACUAUAUGUUUUUAAAAAGCAAAUUUGUCUUUACAAGACCAUUUUAAAAUCUUUGCAUACAAAUAUGUUAGGUGCUUACAGAUUUUUUUCUUCUGAAAAAUUUCCUUAUAAAAAUAGAAUGUGCUAUUCAUCAGCAUGUCCUAUUUUUGGGGCAAAUAUGGAUGGAUGGCAGAGCUAGAAUUUUAACCUGUGUGUCUCUCUUACUCCAGGCUCUUUCUCUUGUCUUUAGGAGAGCAUGGUGGCAGGCAGCUGGUCUUUUCUUGUUUUAUUUUGAUAUAAUUUUAAGCAACUUGCUCUAGUGGGAGCUCCUGAUGGCUGCCCCCUAGUGGACUCCAGCGAGACUGCGCUCACCGGAUUGUAAGACGCUCCCCCUGCCUCACUCUGCUCAUUCCCGCUGAAGGGCAAGGCCUCUGCUCUGUGUUAGCACACUGCUUCCAGCAGAGUGUAAACAAAUCGAUAAUCCCGUGUGGCCACGGGGUAAAGAAGUGACAUUCUUACCCCUGCAGAAGGAGUACACUCUUGGGGACCGAGAUCAAGGUGGGCCUAUAGCGUCACCGCUUUGGUUUCAAAUUUGGUUGGGUAUCAGACUGAAGAGGAACAGCAGGCUUUAACUUAAUACGGUUUCUCAACCUCAGCACUAUUGACAUUUUGAGUUAGAUAACCUUUUGUUGUGGGGGUUGUCCUGUGCAUCGUACGAUGUUUAACAGCAUCCUUGGCCUCCACUCACUAGAUGCCAAUAGCAUCCUUCCUCUAGUUGUGACAGCCCAAAAUGUCUCCAGACAUUGCCAAAUGUCCCUUGGUGGACAAAAUAGGCCCAAUUGAGAAACACUCUUAUAGGGGGAUAGAAAGCAGGAGAUUCAGCUCGCACAGUUCUCCAUCCCGUCAGGAGGGCCAGCAGUACCAGGUACCGCACAGCGUCUGUUGCCCCCUCACCACACAGCGCGUGAGCUGCCCUGACCAGAGCCAAGGUGUGCGUGAGUCACCUUCAUACGGAGAAGCCUUGGCCUUGAUUUAGCACCAAUCUUUUAUGUCAUAUUAGUCACAUGGGCCUGAGACGAGCAUGCAGAUUCAGAGAGCCUCCGAUACAGGUGCAUUUCCACAGGGCAGAAGAAACUGUCACAACACUCCACGCUUCUCCUGCACUGGCAGAACUCAGAGACCUGAGGUCGCUGCCAGGUAGGCCUGCCCCAGCCCAGGCCUGAAACAAAUUAACCCUUUCCUCACACUGCCACAAAACCCCACCAAGCACGGUAGAGUUGGUUUGUUAAGUGCUUCCCCACCUUGCAGAGAUGCUGUCUCGCCACCACCCCACCAAAAAAAGACCAAACCUCAGGCUUCUGUGUUACCAGGACCUGCAUAACCUUGGCAGCCUCCAUCUAAGUCUACUUUCAGCUCCUCCAAUCCCUACAUCCCGAUGAACUUCGUGGGGCCAUCCAAAAUCUAGGCUUCUGGAGUGGCUUGCGGUGGCUUACUUUGCUCGUCCAUUUAAACUCCUUUAUAUCACGUACAUUGGCUGAGUUAAGGUACAUUGCCUAUAUCUGGAAACAUUUGUCAGCCUGUAGAGACAUCUUGAAACGUUCCCUUGAAAGAAAAGUUUGGGGAAAUUCACAGGCCAUGAUUCCACGCCGGUGGGACACCACGAUGCUUUCAAACUCUGGUGGCUUCUUACAUGGCAAAGUAGUCUAGGGAACAUUGGCAGCUGUUGGAAAUGUGCUGGGGGCCAAGGAAAAUCAAAGAGUUGCCCCUCCUUCUUGUUAAAUGCCUCAGACCCUCAGAGAUCCUUACUUUACUCCUCUCCCAGGGCCAUAGAGGAAUUCAGGGGAAACAAUCUUUUACCCCCAGUUUAGGUUGCUGGAAGGAUAACUUGUAAACUUGGAUUUACUGAUGGCCAUUGGGGAGACCCAGCUUGGAACGGAGUUUGUCCAGUGGAGUUCCCCU